AGCUCCAAUAGCGUAUAUUAAAGUUGUUGCAGUUAAAAAGCUCGUAGUCGAACUUCUGGUUGGCGUAUGCAUGGCUACGGUCGUGUAUGCGUACAGCUAUCCUCUUGAGAACCACCGAGGCCUUAACUGGUCGUUGAUGGGUAUCAGGAAUUUUACUUUGAAAAAAUUAGAGUGUUUCAGGCAGGCGAUUGCCCGAAUACAUUAGCAUGGAAUAAUGGAAUAGGACUUCGGCCCAUUU
rnacentral:rRNA from 1 species